rnacentral:lncRNA from 1 species
AAAACCCCACUUACCAGAAUCGCAUGAUGAACACCAAAAAUAUCAAGAUACGAAGAUACGACAGCAGACAAAAAAAAGAAUUGUAGGAAAGGAAGAGGAAAAAGAAAAUGGUAGAGAACAGAGAAAACUAACGUCGAAUUUUUGGGAAGAGAGAAAUUUUUAAAAAAGAAAUAAAAAAAUAUAAUCAAAUUAGAACCCUCACCAUAUCUCAACUUCUCAUUAUCCUACUAACUAACCUACUAACUCUACACAACUUCAGAAUUUUACUUCCUCCCAACCUCUCACAACCAAAACAAAAAUAUCAUCCAUACUCUUACAGGAAAUCGAACACAAAACCUCCAGCAAGCUAACUCCUUACCACUC